rnacentral:rRNA from 1 species
CCACCGGCGCACGUACUCUAAAAACGGGUUAGGCGCGGGGCGUAGGGCGUGAUCGGUGGUGGGUUUGGGAUCGGGACAAAGGGGAGCUAGGGGUAUCGGAGCGGGCGGAGGAGGUAGGGAGGAGGAGCGGAGCGGUGCCGGAGGUGGGGCCUCGGAGCGGCGGCGGACGCUAAGGAGGGAGGACGGGCGUCUCGGGUAACCCGAGCGGUUGGGAUCGGGGUUAGGUGUAGGGGGUGCGGGGAGUGACCAGGGAGGAGGAGGAAGGGAGCAGGCGGCGGAGCGAGGGAGCCAGAGGAGGGAGCAACGGCACCGGAAGCCAGAUCCUCGGGACGGCGGAUGACGAGGAGGAGUGGUGGAGCGGAGAAAGAGGAGGAGCGGAAGGGUAGCGAGCGCGCGUCCAGUGGUGGCAGCCUCUUGUACCCUCACGCCCAGAAGUUCAACCCCACCAGUCCUCCCGAAGGGUUGGACUGCAGCGGAGGAGGAGGAGCGUCGCAGCAGCGCGCACGUGGAAGAAGAGGAGGGAGGAAGGAGGGAGCAGUGAUGAAGGUGGUCAGGGGAGGGAAGGAGCAGACACCGGCGACGACUGGGUAGGAGGCCGGAGGCGCAGAGGCGGGUCCGCCGUUCCGGGGGUCGGGGGGAGCCCGGAGCCGGGGAGGCAUGUCGGGCGAAGACGGAGCAGGUUGAGCGAUGAAUCGAGGGUUCCGAGCCUCCCGUCGCCUGCGCCGUCCGAGCCGUCCGUCGCCCGCGCUACCAGUUCCGGUCCCCGCGCCUAACCCCUCUACGCGUGUGCUCCUCGCUGCCGCUGGCGCAGACGGCGGUUGUAGCUCUAAUCGAGAAGCAAGAAAGUUCGGGAUACAACGAAUGAGUUUACAAACACCGUUAACAUAGGAACAUGGUACUUAUAAACAUGAAUCGUCUAGUUAUAUUUGUAUAACCGAUAGAUAAAUGGUUAAGUCUUAAAUUUCGUGAAAUAAAAUACCGGAACUCAUUUUCAAGUCAGCAACAACCGACCUUCUGUAGAAGUUAUGCGGCAGUUGUGCUCGAAGGGUUCCAUUACUAGAUUCUCCUUCACUCAACCUAUACUCUACCCCUGUCUUCUAGGACGUUGCUACAACAAAGAAACAAGAGGACGAGUUCGAGUCCACCUACUCGGGGCAGGACACAAUAAGGGGAACCAAAGACUUCGAGGGUCCUAAAUUAUUACUCAACAGAACCCGAAGUAACCUGUUUACUAGAUGGAGCUCGUUACUAUGUCCAACCGCAACUUCGGACUACCGCAAAAAGAACGUCGUUUAUAACCGCCCUUCUGAGAUUUCACUAUUAGAAUUUAAACGGUAAAUGGCUGUAAAAGGUCAAAGAACAAACUGAACGGAAAAGAACCUACGCUACUAUUCCCUUGAUUCUUAACGCACGUGAUAACGAGUUUAGCUUGCAUUCCCUCCGUAGUCAGGAGCUUACAACGGAAAUCUUGUUCAUACUAAGGAAAUAUUAUACUCUAAAACGGGAAGGUCCUCAACUACAUCUAGCUAUAUGUCAGUUCAUGUUAUGACCGCACAUAUUUUUUUGAACUAAAAAGGACCCUAACUUGAAACUUGAUUAUUUAGAUCUGAUACCUCGAGUCCACCUACUCGGGGCAGGGCACAAUAAGGGGAACCAAAGACUUCGAGGGUCCUAAAUUAUUACUCCGUAGUCAGGAGCUUACAACGGAAAUCUUGUUGAGUCCACCUACUCGGGGCAGGGCACAAUAAGGGGAACCAAAGACUUCGAGGGUCCUAAAUUAUUACUCCACAGAACCCGAAGUAACCUGUCUACUAGAUGGAGCUCGUUACUAUGUCCAACCGCAACUUCGGACUACCGCAAAAAGAACGUCGUUUAGAACCGUUCUUCUGAGACUUCACUAUUAGAAUUUAAACGGUAAAUGGCUGUAAAAGGUCAAAGAACAAACUGAACGGAAAAGAACCUACGCUACUAUUCCCUUGAUUCUUAACGCACGUGAUAACGAGUUUACCUUGUAUUCCCUCCAUAGUCAGGAGUUUACAACGGAGAUCUUGUUUUCAUUGCGAGUUUUCGGACUUAUCUUAAGGAACCCUUUCCCAUCUACAAUCGAAGUUCUCUUCAUCUGUUACCUAAAAACGGGUGUCGUGGUAAGUCGGGAUGACGAGGACUCGGGUUUAGGGUACUGGUACGGGGGUGGAGAGGAAACAAUUUACUUCCCUCAGACCAACGAUUUUUGUCGAAAAGAUAUCGUUAUCGGUUUAUCACACUGUAUUGUGAUAAGGUAAAAGUGUCCGGUAUUGUGUAGAAAUGUAUCACUCGAUGGUAGUGAAGAGUAAUGACUGACAUUAGUUAUAUAUAUAUCUACACAAAUACGGUAUUUUCUACCUAUAAACAGCUUCGGUAACAGCACAGUACAUUAAUGGACCUCUAGUCGAUAUAUCAAAACAAGCCUAACAUUUCACCUUUGAUGUUGAGGGUACACUAACAGUAAACUAAUAAAUGAAGGAGUUCAUCAUACCUAUACCACGACGGUCCUAUAAUUCAUAUAAGUACUUAAACAUAUUUGGUGCAAGAUGCUAAGUGAAGACAAUACGUAUAAAUGAAAGGUCAAAAUCCUGACUUUCGGUAGGUAACAUUACUUGAACCAACAUACCCGUAAUGGAUAAACUGAAUCCGAACGAAGUAGUGUAUAUCUGACGAAAAGAAAAGGGGUGAGGAACAUACUGGAUUUUGAUAGUACAUAUACUCCGUUCAAUAAUCGUUAAAAAGUGUAAAAGAAUGAACGUUAUAACACGAACGGAUAAAGUCCACAAGGUUCUGGGUUUAGUAACCUUUUUGUUGUGUAUGUUGUGAAAAAAGAAAACUUGAAACCAAUGGGAAUAUGUUCGGGGGUAAGUAAAACAAAUAUACCACCAAUCUUAUCAUUGGUAUACACGAACGAGCUAUGACUAUUUACCUUAUAAAAGUUUCGUGCAUACCACACCUAUACAAGCGUUAAACCGCGUUGCCGUCUAAUGAUUUUUUAUGUGUAAAAAAGUUGUACUGUACCAGAACUUUACCCUGAGAUGAUGGUUUAAUUUUACACAUCCAUAUAGAGUAACAUCUACUGUUCAGAGAUAAAAAAAUAAUUUCCCCAAAUUUAAACAAUAGUAUAUACGAACGGGCGAUGAUUUUGUUGAUUUUGUACCUUAAAGAAAAGUACGACUUGUACCUAAAUCACCCAGAGAUACGAUAAACAAUGGGUCGGCUACUUGGCUCUUUCUUUCCUUCCCCUAUCUGUCAGAAACGAGCGAGGCGGGGGUGGCGAAGAAUAAGUCGAGGAGUGCCCGGUGUCCGUAGCGAGAUGCACUCAACCCGAUUUAUUAUAUACCCGAUAGGAUUAUGGAAGACUAGGGAUAUAAAGACAUAUAAGUGUUGUUUCUGUACAAAAAAAUCCAAAGAAUAGAAAAAGGGAGGAAAAAACGUCCUUUUUAUACGUACCGGUCCAAAGAGUAGUACUAUUGGUACAAAGGUUUGAACGAUUUUUUAUGUUGGUACGGUUGAAAUGAGAGAGUAGUAUCACGGG